rnacentral:tRNA from 1 species
CGGGAUUGUAGUUUAAAUAAAACAUUAGCAUUGGAAGUUAAAAAUUAGGUGGCUAAUACCUAUAUCCUGA